UGGCAGCAGUAGGGAAUAUUGGUCAAUGGGUGAGAGCCUGAACCAGCCAUGCCGCGUGCAGGAAGACGGCCUUCUGGGUUGUAAACUGCUUUUACCUGUGGAUAAAACGUCCCUGCGGGGAUAAUUGAAGGUAGCAGGUGAAUAAGCCACGGCUAACUACGUGCCAGCAGCCGCGGUAAUACGUAGGUGGCAAGCGUUGUCCGGAUUUAUUGGGUUUAAAGGGUGCGUAGGCGGCUUUGUAAGUCAGUAGUGAAAUACCCCAGCUCAACUGGGGGGGUGCUAUUGAUACUGCAUGGCUUGAGUACAGAUGAGGUAGGCGGAAUUGACGGUGUAGCGGUGAAAUGCAUAGAUAUCGUCAAGAACACCGAUAGCGAAGGCAGCUUACUAAGUUGUAACUGACGCUGAUGCACGAAAGUGUGGGGAUCAAACAGGAUUAGAUACCCUGGUAG
rnacentral:rRNA from 1 species